GAUGAAGAACGCAGCGAAAUGCGAUAAGUAAUGUGAAUUGCAGAAUUCAGUGCAUCAUCGAAUCUUUGAACGCACAUUGCGCCCCCUGGUAUUCCGGGGGGCAUGCCUGUUCGAGCGUCAUUUCACCACUCAAGCCUCGCUUGGUAUUGGGCAACGCGGUCCGCCGCGUGCCUCAAAUCGACCGGCUGGGUCUUCUGUCCCCUAAGCGUUGUGGAAACUUUCGCUAAAGGGUGUUCGGGAGGCUACGCCGUAAAACAACCCCAUUUCUAAGGUUGACCUCGGAUCAGGUAGGGAUACCCGCUGAACUUAAGCAUAUCAAUAAGCGGAGGA
rnacentral:misc_RNA from 1 species